UAGAGGCGAAAAUGUGUGCGCGCGAGGCAGGGAGCUCGGCUCCGCACCAGGCGCUCGCCCCGACCCCGUCUUCCUCCGCCGCCUCGCCGCGCCGGCCGGCCUCACCGGAGAUCACCGCCGCCGCGACCAGGUCACGUCGCCGCACCUGCCUUCUCCUCCUCCCUCUCCUUCCUCUCUUCCUCUCAGCAUCUCUCUCUCCCUCUCAUUGCAGCGCCGUCAUGGCCGCCCCGAGCUUUGCCGGCAGCCGCGCCGCGCGCCUCCGGCGGGAUCCGGCCGCCCCUGCCCGGAUCCGCAUCCUCCGCUCCGCCGCGCCCCGGAUCCGGCCACUACCAAGCCUCCCACGCCGAUCCGCCCGUCCGCCGGCCUCCCCCUGCUCGACUCGGGUGGACGGGCAAAGUUUCUGACUUGCCAUUGUAGUUGACCUGAAGCUCCGUUGGUGAGGAGCAUUGCCGCUGCUGCAGGUUAGGGAGGAGGCUCGAGGCAGCCACGAAUUCCGUCCUGCACUGCUUCAACACCGGCCUAUUCUAGCAUGAAUCUUCUGCCGUGAGCAAGGGCCAUUUGUUUGACAGAAAUAGAGUUGUUACCGCAAGAGAGGUACAAAUCAAGGACCGAGGAGGGACGAGUGCGGAUUUGAUCUAAGUUGGGUUACUUUCUAUGAAUAGAUGAUGUGAUUGCUUUGUUAUUUCAUUUAAUUAAUAGAAAAAUUGAUGAGGCAAUUGGAAGAAUCAAGCAGCAAUUUUACUACAUAUCUGCGCCAUUGAUUUGGUCAUCUCUGUCACUAGCAAGUUGCAUAAGAAAGAGUGUGGCGUUGCAGAGGCGUGUAUAAUUGUGAGUCCCUCAAUUAUAGAGCGGAUCCAGGUGAAAGAUGUAGGUGGUGUGUGGAUUGAACUCUAGAUCGGGAACCUGCAGUACUAGAUGGACGAUAACUAUGCUUACAA